AAGAAAGAGAGAGAGAGAGAGAGAGAGAGAGAGAGAAAGGAAGGAAAGGAAAGGAAAAGAAAAGAAAAAGGCUGGGGAUGUGGCUCAGUGGUAAAGUGCCUCUGGAUUCAAUCCUAAACCCUCCAAACAAAAAAUUACCUCUGUGAUUUAAAACCAUUUUCCCCAAGGAGAGGUUUAACUUAAUAACAUUCACUGUACUUCAGAAUGUUUAGAAAUAAUGAGCAUUUUAGACAGGCAUAGCCUUUAUGAUGUAGAGGAUGUAGAGAACUGACUGACAAACAGGUGGUCCACCCAGACAAGCCAGUAGAUAAAAGAUAGAUGGACAUAUUUUGGAGAGCUAGAAAUAAAUUCCUACAAGUCUGAAGAUCUGCUGUUGCAAAACCCUAAGUAUUCCAUGCCCAGUGUUUUUGUUGAGAGAAUAUUCCAAGUGAUGUCAUCACAUUGGACUGACACCAGGAGUCUGUGUAAUGUGGACUUGAUAAGAGCAAGCUACAAGUCCAGGAGAAUUUCACAUCUGACUGUGUUCAGUUUUACCACUGCAAAAAAAGAAUGGUGUGCUCCAGGUUGCAGGUGGUUCACAGAGGUAUUACUGGAAAAGGAAGGCAGAAGAGUAAAACGUUACACAUCCAGGCAUCUGGCGCCCAGUGGUAGUCCCAGCUGCUUGGGAGACUGAGGACCAAUUAUCCUUCGUGAAGAGAAGCUCUGAAUAAUUACUUUUGGCUCAUGGGAUAAGGCAGACUUUUCAGUUUGAGCUGGGCCUGCUCAGACAAACCCAAGGAAAGACUUUUGAGAGAGAAACAGUUGAAUUAGGAAAAGAUCCAGUACUGGGUGCGUGUUGACUUGUCAAAGAAAAAUAAAGGGAUUCAUUUGACUUAAAAGUGUGAAAUUAUUUGCUGUGUGAUGUAGUGAUGCAAAAAACCCUAUAAAUCUCACUGAACAAAGGACCAGGACUCACUCCCUGGGACCGCUGCUUUGGAAACGGUUGUGAGUCCAGGCUGGAGCUUGCAAUAAGGACUCCUGCGUGAUUGCAUCGGAUUCUGCUCCUGGAGGUCUAUUGGGGUCCCACGAAUCUGGCAUUACACUGCCACCCGAUCUCUCAGUGACAUCAUUUACCCUGGGGUUAAAACAUCUGGUCUGGUGGCCCCACCCUGAUCUUUUUGCCUUUCCCCCCUUAUCUGGGGGGCUGACAGCCUGGCAGAGGCUUCACUCUGGGUUUGUCAGGGUGGGGAGAAGGGACUUGUUUGUGCCUGAGGAACAUUCUGGAAGUUUCCCUUAGGUGAGCCUGGUGAGACUGCAGGUUUCAAACUGGAGUUUUAAAAUGGAGUUGCUAGGCUCAGGCCCAAGGCUGUCCUCACAAUGCUUCAGUGGCUUCUGCUUUUGUAAAGUAAAAUCCUAUGAGAGCCUUGUUGCCCUGGCUCCUGAGGGCCCGCCCUGAGGGGAGCUGAUCUGUCCCCCCCUGCUGGUUCCCUGGGCUCUGUCAGUCACAGGGUUUCUUUGCUGACCUUGAAGGUCACCACACUCCUGCCCAAGGCCCUGUGCUCCUCCUCUCCACCUGGAACUUUCCCCUCCACACCUGCAUGUGGCUUGCUCCUUCACUUCAUUCAAGUCUGCCCAGGGGCUGCCUCUGGGGACAAGCUUCCUGAUGCCAUCGUGCUUGGCAGCCUGGUGUGUAAUUCGUCCUCUUUCUCCUUACCUUGGUUCUGAUUCCCAAUAUUUGCCACUAUCUGGCAUUACAUUUUGUGUCUGUUUAUUUAUUUAUUUCUUUGUCUCUUUCAUGAGAGCAGGAACUUCAGCCUAUUUCCUUAUCACUGUGUCUUAGGCUCAAAGUUAUCACUCAAUAAAUACUGGUUAAACAGGUGAA